GCUGGUGGGGUGGUAGGUAGGUAGAUUCAUGGGUUUGGACAUCAGGCACGAGGAACUGGAACCAGCAGACAUUCAUUCAAUAAGAUCUGAAUUUCCACGGCUACAGGCUGCACAGAUCUGGGCUGGGAUCCUGCUUCCACCACUGAUAACAUUCUCUUGAGUUUGUUUAACUUCUCUGAGCUUUAGCUCCCUCUUCUGCAAGUUCAGGUCAUUACUUCUGUGAAGGAUUUCUGCCAAGCUUGAAAAAGAAAAUGGCUGUUGUGGAAAUUAAAGGAGUUGGUGUUUGCGAAGAAGCCAGCAUGGUGCCUGGUGCAUACAAAAUCUUUUUUCAGAAGCUAAGGAGUCAAACAACAUUUUGUGUGCGAUCCUGCUCUGUCUAAGAAUCCAGGACAGAUUGUGAUCUUGGUCUGAGAUGAACAAAACAAUAUGAGAAUGAAAAAAAGAAAGACACUUGGAACCAGUCUCUCACAGAAUCCUAAUCUGAUACUCUUAAAAAAAAAUAAUAAAAUUUUCGUUCCGAUGCCAGGGUACACCACCAAUUUAAGAGAGAGCAUGUGUCACGUUGAUAGAACUCCAUAAAUGAAGUUGUCACAGUGGCAAACAAGACAGACAACCACCUCUAUGAUGGUUGUAUUUUAAUGAGGAGAUGGAGCCAACGGCCCUGGAUGCUCAUGUCCUCCCCACUUUUGGCAGCACAGCAGAGAGCUUGGAAAGGAGAUCUGAGUUAGUUGAACAGGCUAAUUACUAGUGUAUCAGGCUAAUGACAAGUCGCCAUGUUCUGGAGUAUCCCUUCCAAGGCCACGUCCCUGACCAGGGAACUUGUGUCGUCUCAUGGAUGCUUUCCGACCUUGCCCCUCUUCUCAAAAGGCACACCACAAAUACACAGAACAUCCCCAGGGAAUGUCCUCCUUUAUUGGAACCUUGGCCAUGGGACAUGCAGACCACCUGCACCCGGUAUAAGACCUAACAAGUAACAAGAGUUAGAGACAAUGUAUAUGUUCUAUUACUUCUCUGAAUGUUUUUCUCCAAUAAACUCUAUAUCUGAAUUGGAUGGUGUUGCAACAGA